GAUGAACGCUAGCGGCAGGCUUAACACAUGCAAGUCGAGGGGGUAACAGAGAAAAGCUUGCUUUUUUGCUGACGACCGGCGCACGGGUGCGUAACGCGUAUGCAAUCUACCUUUUGCUGAGGGAUAGCCCAGAGAAAUUUGGAUUAAUACCUCAUAGUAUGGUGACUUGGCAUCAAGAUAUCAUUAAAGGUUACGGCAAAAGAUGAGCAUGCGUUCUAUUAGCUAGUUGGUGUGGUAACGGCAUACCAAGGCAACGAUAGAUAGGGGUCCUGAGAGGGAGAUCCCCCACACUGGUACUGAGACACGGACCAGACUCCUACGGGAGGCAGCAGUGAGGAAUAUUGGACAAUGGAGGCAACUCUGAUCCAGCCAUGCCGCGUGCAGGAAGACUGCCCUAUGGGUUGUAAACUGCUUUUAUACAGGAAGAAACACCUCUACGUGUAGAGGCUUGACGGUACUGUAAGAAUAAGGAUCGGCUAACUCCGUGCCAGCAGCCGCGGUAAUACGGAGGAUCCAAGCGUUAUCCGGAAUCAUUGGGUUUAAAGGGUCCGUAGGUGGAUAAUUAAGUCAGAGGUGAAAUCCUGCAGCUUAACUGUAGAAUUGCCUUUGAUACUGGUUGUCUUGAGUUAUUAUGAAGUAGUUAGAAUAUGUAGUGUAGCGGUGAAAUGCAUAGAUAUUACAUAGAAUACCAAUUGCGAAGGCAGAUUACUAAUAAUAUACUGACACUGAUGAACGAAAAGAGCGG
rnacentral:rRNA from 1 species